GCCUUAGUAGCGGCGAGUGAGCGGCAAAGCUCAAAUUUGAAAUCUGGCUCUUUCAGAGUCCGAGUUGUAAUUUGAAGAAGGUAUCUUUGGGUCUGGCUCUUGUCUAUGUUUCUUGGAACAGAACGUCACAGAGGGUGAGAAUCCCGUGCGAUGAGAUGAUCCAGGCCUAUGUAAAGUUCCUUCGAAGAGUCGAGUUGUUUGGGAAUGCAGCUCUAAGUGGGUGGUAAAUUCCAUCUAAAGCUAAAUAUUGGCGAGAGACCGAUAGCGAACAAGUACAGUGAUGGAAAGAUGAAAAGAACUUUGAAAAGAGAGUGAAAAAGUACGUGAAAUUGUUGAAAGGGAAGGGCUUGAGAUCAGACUUGGUAUUUUGUAUGUUACUUCUUCGGGGGUGGCCUCUACAGUUU
rnacentral:rRNA from 1 species